rnacentral:snRNA from 11 species
CAGCUUACUGGCAGCAGAGAUACCAUAAUAAAGAAGNUAGUUUUCCCAGGGCAAGACUCAAAGUUUCUUCCAUCACACCUNACAUGUAUUGACCCCUUCAAUUUCUACAAAUUUAGGAAACUGGAUUGCAUAAUUUAUGGUAGCAGGAGCCUAUGUUCAUAUGAGUUCUCC